rnacentral:rRNA from 1 species
AAGUUUGAUCCUGGCUCAGGAUGAACGCUAGCGGCAGGCUUAAUACAUGCAAGUCGAGGGGCAGCGGGUAGCAAUACGCCGGCGACCGGCAAACGGGUGCGGAACACGUACGCAACCUCCCAGGAACAGGUGAAUAGCCUUCCGUAAGGAAGAUUAAUACACCGUACCAUAUAGUGGUGGCAUCACCGUUAUAUUAUAGGUAGCAAUACCGGUUCCUGAUGGGCGUGCGCCUGAUUAAAUAGUUGGCGGGGUAACGGCCCACCAAGCCUUCGAUCAGUAACUGGUGUGAGAGCACGACCAGUCACACGGGCACUGAGACACGGGCCCGACUCCUACGGGAGGCAGCAGUAAGGAAUAUUGGUCAAUGGACGCAAGUCUGAACCAGCCAUGCCGCGUGAAGGAUGAAGGCCCUCUGGGUUGUAAACUUCUUUUAUCUGGGACAAAACAAGGGAAUUCCUUCCCUCUUGACGGUACCAGAGGAAUAAGCACCGGCUAACUCCGUGCCAGUAGCCGCGGUAAUACGGAGGGUGCAAGCGUUAUCCGGAUUUACUGGGUUUAAAGGGUGCGUAGGUGGGCAGGAAAGUCAGUGGUGAAAUCUUCAAGCUUAACUUGGAAACUGCCAUUGAUACUUUUUGUCUUGAAUAUCCCGGAGGUAAACCGGAAUAUGUCAUGUAGCGGUGAAAUGCUUAGAUAUGACAUAUAACACCCAUUGCGAAGGCAGCUUACUACAGGAUCAUUGACACUGAGGCACGAAAGCGUGGGGAUCAAACAGGAUUAGAUACCCUGGUAGUCCACGCCCUAAACGAUGGAUACUCGACAUCAGCGAUACACUGGUGGUGUCUGAACCAAAGCAUUAAGUAUCCCACCUGGGGAGUACGACCGCAAGGUUGAAACUCAAAAAAA